ACGACUCUCGGCAACGGAUAUCUCGGCUCUCGCAUCGAUGAAGAACGUAGCGAAAUACGAUACUUGGUGUGAAUUGCAGAAUCCCGUGAACCAUCGAGUUUUUGAACGCAAGUUGCGCCCAAAGCCAUUAGGCUAAGGGCACGUCUGCCUGGGCGUCACGCA
rnacentral:rRNA from 1 species